rnacentral:rRNA from 1 species
UACGUAGGUGGCGAGCGUUGUCCGGAUUUACUGGGCGUAAAGGGCGCGUAGGCGGCACCGCAAGUCGACUGUGAAAUCUCCGGGCUUAACUCGGAAAGGUCAGCCGAUACUGCGGGGCUAGAGUGCAGAAGGGGCAACUGGAAUUCUCGGUGUAGCGGUGAAAUGCGUAGAGAUCAGGAAGAACACCGGUGGCGAAAGCGCUCUGCUAGGCCGCAACUGACACUCAUGGACGAAAGCUAGGGGAGCGAAUGGG